UACGUAGGGUGCGAGCGUUACUCGGAAUUACUGGGCGUAAAGCGUGCGCAGGCGGUUUUGUAAGUCUGUCGUGAAAUCCCCGGGCUUAACCUGGGAAUGGCGAUGGAGACUGCAAGGCUAGAGUUUGGCAGAGGGGGGUAGAAUUCCACGUGUAGCAGUGAAAUGCGUAGAGAUGUGGAGGAACACCGAUGGCGAAGGCAGCCCCCUGGGUCAAAACUGACGCUCAUGCACGAAAGCGUGGGGAGCAAACAGG
rnacentral:rRNA from 1 species